UACGAAGGGGGCGAGCGUUGUUCGGAUUGACUGGGCGUAAAGGGCGCGUAGGCGGUUCGUACAGUCAGACGUGAAAUUCCUGGGCUCAACCUGGGGGCUGCGUUUGAUACGUGCGGACUUGAGUGCGGAAGAGGGUCGUGGAAUUCCCAGUGUAGCGGUGAAAUGCGCAGAUAUCAGGAGGAACACCGGUGGCGAAGGCGGGACUCUGGGCCGAUACUGACGCUGAGGAGCGAAAGCGUGGGGAGCAAACAGG
rnacentral:rRNA from 1 species